rnacentral:rRNA from 1 species
GAUGAACGCUGGCGGCGUGCUUAACACAUGCAAGUCGAACGAUGAAGCCCAGCUUGCUGGGUGGAUUAGUGGCGAACGGGUGAGUAACACGUGAGCAACCUGCCCCUGACUCUGGGAUAAGCGCUGGAAACGGCGUCUAAUACUGGAUAUGUCCCGUCACCGCAUGGUGUGCGGGUGGAAAGAUUUGUCGGUUGGGGAUGGGCUCGCGGCCUAUCAGCUUGUUGGUGAGGUAAUGGCUCACCAAGGCGUCGACGGGUAGCCGGCCUGAGAGGGUGAACGGCCACAAUGGGAAUGAGAGACGGCACAGACUGCUACGGGAGGCAGCAGUGGGGAAUAUUGCACAAUGGGCGAAAGCGUGAUGCAGCAACGCCGCGUGAGGGAUGACGGCCUUCGGGUUGUAAACCUCUUUUAGCAGGGAAGAAGCGAAAGUGACGGUACCUGCAGAAAAAGCACCGGCUAACUACGUGCCAGCAGCCGCAGUAAUAC